rnacentral:rRNA from 1 species
AUGUUGUGUUUCUUCUUCCGAGUGAAAUGUGUAGGACCCUGUUUUGUCCCUCUCAUCUACCUCUUCUAA